rnacentral:rRNA from 1 species
GAUGAACGCUGGCGGCGUGCCUAAUACAUGCAAGUCGAGCGAACAGAUAAGGAGCUUGCUCCUUUGAAGUUAGCGGCGGACGGGUGAGUAACACGUGGGUAACCUACCUAUAAGACCGGGAUAACUUCGGGAAACCGGAGCUAAUACCGGAUAACAUUUAGAACCGCAUGGUUCUAAAGUGAAAGAUGGUUUCGCUAUCACUUAUAGAUGGACCCGCGCCGUAUUAGCUAGUUGGUAAGGUAACGGCUUACCAAGGCGACGAUACGUAGCCGACAUGAGAGGGUGAUCGGACACACUGGAACUGAGACACGGUCCAGACUCCUACGGGAGGCAGCAGUAGGGAAUCUUCCGCAAUGGGCGAAAGCCUGACGGAGCAACGCCGCGUGAGUGAUGAAGGGUUUCGGCUCGUAAAACUCUGUUAUUAGGGAAGAACAAAUGUGUAAGUAACUGUGCACAUCUUGACGGUACCUAAUCAGAAAGCCACGGCUAACUACGUGCCAGCCGCCGCAGUAA